CCCUUAGAUGUUCUGGGCCGCACGCGCGUUACAAUGAAUCGUUCAACAGGUUUUCUUCCUGAGUCGAAAGGCUUGGGUAAUCCUUUAAAUACGGUUCGUGCUAGGGAUAGAUUUUUGCAAUUAUUAAUCUUGAACGAGGAAUAUUUAGUAAACGCAGGUCAUCAGCCUGCAUUGAUUACGUCCCUGCCCUUUGCACACACCGCCCGUCGCACCAACCGAUUGGAUGUUUUGUUGAAAUAUGUGGAUGUUUUUUGAGUGGAUUAAUUUUCGCUCGAUAGACAGAAACGUAUUAAAACUGAAUAUAUAGAGGAUGGUGAAGUCGUAACA
rnacentral:rRNA from 1 species